CUGGAAGGCUCUUUAAUAGCAAGCGACUGGUAAUUACAUCGUGGGAGGAGCCCCUUGCUCUCAGGGGAGGAGGAGGGAGCUGUGGACAGGGUUCCACACAGGGUUCACACUGUUUGAAGCAUCUAACCAAGGGCAACAAUUUUUGGCAACCCAUGUCACAGUUUUGUAAUUUACAAGAGAUUUCUUUGAAAGGAAAUAUGAAGGCAAAGAAAGUACAUAUACUCUACGUGAAACAUUUCUUGCCUUAAAAAACCCCAAGAACUGUGGCUUGCUUUUGCUAAAUUUUGCUCUCAUACACAAAUUAAGACUGGACCUCAGCUAGUUCAGACUCAUCCUGGAACUGAAGCUUUCCUUCCUCGUCUUCCAAGCUGACAGAUGUCUGCCCUGCAUCUUCACCUGCCGAGAUUAGACAUCGGAAGGAGCCUACUAACAAGCGAAUCUUGAGAAAAAAACAAAAGAAAAAAACAGGAAAAGGCAGUUUACAAAGCACAGACUGUCACCUUUCUCUCUGGUACCAAACAACUUGCAUACAGUUCCAAGCAAAUUCAAGGUUUAUUUUUAUGUGGCUGGGCACAUGCUUUUAACUGCUUGUGCCUAGUCAGCCUUACAGUGCUUUACGUGGGGUUUCUAAUGUGAAAUGCUCAUGGGUACUGGGUUUUGUAAUCCAAAUUUAAAUAAAAACAUAAAGGACAACACAUCAUUUAACAAUGUGCCCAAUGAGCAGGAGCUAUAGAUAGUUUACCACAGACUCCACGUUGCCAUGGACACCACAGGCUACUGGUAUUCUGGCAAGUUUUAGAAUGACUCUGUGUAAAAUCUAAAAGGCUUCAGCUUUUUAUAACAUACCUAUUACCACAAAACCAGUAUAACUGAUUGGGUCUUUACGAAAGAGGAUUAUUUUUUAAUUCAAAAAAACGUUAGGCUUCUCUGAAGACUAAGCAAUCAGCAAUGGUAUGUCUUUGGAGUGAACACCCAUGAUAUGGAAGAGGGAUCUGUGAUCCACGUGUUUUAAUUGUGCUCUUUCUACAACCCUGAAGCACAGUGGAGUUAAGAGGGCCCUGCCCUGUGGCCUGUGGUGCCAGCAAGACCCACAUUUGGUUCACGUUCUGCCUGCCAGGUGAUUGGGGCCCCUCUCAAAUUUGUUAGCACUAAAGAAGGACAGGCUUCUCUGGCUGGUGGCUGGUUUUCUCGAGGAAAAGAACACCAGAUUUGCAGGAACCUGUUGUGUCCUUGGCUAGGGGGCAUUUUUAAAGUGGCAAAGCCAUCACCAACACAAGGCCUUGCCUCUCAACACAAAGUCGGCCUCAUUUAGGAAAGCAGGCCCCUAGUGAGAGCCAUGAAAACAGUUUUCCUGUGCCUCAUGAGAUUGGCUUUUUUUUUUUUUUAAAAGACUCAGACCCUAACUGUCCUAUUCUCCCUUAUUCAUCUCCUCCCACCCCAAAUUGAGUCCUGCCUAUUCCUUUAUGCCUCUCACUGUGGGAAAUCAGAUUCGCUCAUACCAUAGUUUCCCAACUUGUGAAUUUUAACAUGCAAAGCACAUUUCUAAAAUAGAAAUUCCGAUGGCGCUCUGAGGUCACAGCUCCCCUAGGUCCACACACUUUGUGCUCUUAUGAAACAGAAAUAAUAUUCAGAGGUGUAUUGUGCUAAAAAAUGGUUUGUUUAUACACGAAAAAUGAACAGUAGAUAACUUUUCACUUAAGUACAUGGGAUACCUAAUUCUUGCACCAGGACACAAGGAGAAUCCCUACGUAACAGACUUUCCUGUUCUGGUUGGGGAAAAACAAAAUGUUUUGCUGUGGGCUGCUAUGGGCCUGGCAGACAUGAGUGGACACCUAGUGUAACUGUCUACAGUGGUGACAGGCACUAUGUGGGGUUUCACCUCCCUCCCUAGCCCUGAAAUUCAGUCUGAUUCUCUGAAGCCUGCUUGGUAUGAUUAUCAGGCAGAGGAAAGUCACCAGGUAGCCAUAGGAAAAAUGUCUGCACGAUUCACUCAAACCCAGGAUCACUUUGGUAACAUUACCACAGGUGUGCUUUCAGAUGUCACAGCUAGAGUGCAGUGAUUAACAAGCAAUCGAUGCCCUUCACACACACACGCACACACUCAUCCACUCUCUUUACUUUCACUGUCACUCUCUACUGAAUGACACGGCAAAAAAGUAAAAGUCCUCAUCUUUCACUCUCUUCCAGCUCUUCUUGCAAAUCUCCCCCUCCAUUAAGUUAAACAUAUGCCACUUCCAAAGCCCAAGCCUGUCAGGGCACGACAAAAAGCUGUGCCUUACACGGGCAGAGCAUGCACAGAUGAGACAAGCCCAUGUUUUGGGGCCUCUCCUCUGUGGAUCAGAAUUUCCCCAGCCCCACAGGGUCGGGCCCUAGGGGGUUUGGACACUCACAGACCAACGUGUUCUAAGGUAGUCCUGAGGCCAGCCCCCUAAGGACAGCAUCUUGGCAAGACUCCAAAUGUAUCUCCUUCUCACGUGCCUAAGUCUCCCUGACUGCUGCUCCUUGUACACACACAUCACAAGGCAGGUGCAGGGGACAGUGUCCAAAGCUGGAAGGACAAAUACCCCUCGUUUCACAGACAAGUUAGGUGACUUGUCAAGGUCACGCAUCAAUGGCAGAGUCAGGACUUGUCUCCCCUAAUUCCCAGGCUGAUGCUCCUCCCACCAUACGACCUCUGCCUCCCUGUGUGUGCAUAUGCUUGUGAAAGGUCAGGAACUUGUUUCACAACGAACCAUUUCCAUAACAAAGACCACAGGCUGCCUGACUUCCCCGACCAACCAGGUGAAGCUCCACACUGUGCCAGCUCUGAGGCCACAGAGCCCUGUAAGAGCACCCACAGUGCAGGUAGGUGAGUGCAUGUGUGUGUGUCUCUGUGUGUGCAUGUGUGUGAGCACUGGGAGGGAUGUGCACACAUCAGAGAAAAGGAAGCCUAGGAGGAAACAAUCUGAUUUGCUAAUACCUUUUGGGGUUUUGCCAUGGAAAUUAAGUAACGUACAGCAACGUCCUCUAUCCCCUACUCCUGGGGCAGAACAAAAAUCAGAAUUCUUAUCAGCCUACUGAAUGGCCGAGUCUAACUCAGUUCAAUUUUUACAGAGAACAUUAACUUAAUAUUGGAAUGUAUUUGGACAAAGUCUAAACACUUGAUAAAA